rnacentral:rRNA from 1 species
GGGUUGUGAGGUUAAGCGACUAAGCGUACACGGUGGAUGCCCUGGCAGUCAGAGGCGAUGAAGGGCGUGCUAAUCUGCGAUAAGCGCCGGUAAGGUGAUAUGAACCGUUAUAACCGGCGAUACCCGAAUGGGGAAACCCAGUGUGACUCGUCACACUAUCAUUAACUGAAUCCAUAGGUUAAUGAGGCGAACCGGGGGAACUGAAACAUCUAAGUACCCCGAGGAAAAGAAAUCAACCGAGAUUCCCCCAGUAGCGGCGAGCGAACGGGGAGGAGCCCAGAGCCUGAAUCAGCAUGUGUGUUAGUGGAAGCGUCUGGAAAGGCGCGCGAUACAGGGUGACAGCCCCGUACACAAAAGCGCAUGUGCUGUGAGCUCGAUGAGUAGGGCGGGACACGUGGUAUCCUGUCUGAAUAUGGGGGGACCAUCCUCCAAGGCUAAAUACUCCUGACUGACCGAUAGUGAACCAGUACCGUGAGGGAAAGGCGAAAAGAACCCCGGCGAGGGGAGUGAAAAAGAACCUGAAACCGUGUACGUACAAGCAGUGGGAGCACCCUUUGGGGUGUGACUGCGUACCUUUUGUAUAAUGGGUCAGCGACUUAUAUUCUGUAGCAAGGUUAACCGUAUAGGGGAGCCGCAGGGAAACCGAGUCUUAACCGGGCGUUAAGUUGCAGGGUAUAGACCCGAAACCCGGUGAUCUAGCCAUGGGCAGGUUGAAGGUUGGGUAACACUAACUGGAGGACCGAACCGACUAAUGUUGAAAAAUUAGCGGAUGACCUGUGGCUGGGGGUGAAAGGCCAAUCAAACCGGGAGAUAGCUGGUUCUCCCCGAAAGCUAUUUAGGUAGCGCCUCGUGAAUUCAUCUCCGGGGGUAGAGCACUGUUUCGGCUAGGGGGCCAUCCCGGCUUACCAACCCGAUGCAAACUGCGAAUACCGGAGAAUGUUAUCACGGGAGACACACGGCGGGUGCUAACGUCCGUCGUGAAGAGGGAAACAACCCAGACCGCCAGCUAAGGUCCCAAAGUCAUGGUUAAGUGGGAAACGAUGUGGGAAGGCCCAGACAGCCAGGAUGUUGGCUUAGAAGCAGCCAUCAUUUAAAGAAAGCGUAAUAGCUCACUGGUCGAGUCGGCCUGCGCGGAAGAUGUAACGGGGCUAAACCAUGCACCGAAGCUGCGGCAGCGACGCUUAUGCGUUGUUGGGUAGGGGAGCGUUCUGUAAGCCUGCGAAGGUGGCCUGUGAGGGUUGCUGGAGGUAUCAGAAGUGCGAAUGCUGACAUAAGUAACGAUAAAGCGGGUGAAAAGCCCGCUCGCCGGAAGACCAAGGGUUCCUGUCCAACGUUAAUCGGGGCAGGGUGAGUCGACCCCUAAGGCGAGGCCGAAAGGCGUAGUCGAUGGGAAACGGGUUAAUAUUCCCGUACUUGGUGUUACUGCGAAGGGGGGACGGAGAAGGCUAUGUUGGCCGGGCGACGGUUGUCCCGGUUUAAGCGUGUAGGUGUGUGUUCCAGGUAAAUCCGGUUCACUUUAACACUGAGGCGUGACGACGAGGCACUACGGUGCUGAAGCAACAAAUGCCCUGCUUCCAGGAAAAGCCUCUAAGCAUCAGGUAACAUCAAAUCGUACCCCAAACCGACACAGGUGGUCAGGUAGAGAAUACCAAGGCGCUUGAGAGAACUCGGGUGAAGGAACUAGGCAAAAUGGUGCCGUAACUUCGGGAGAAGGCACGCUGACACGUAGGUGAAGUGAUUUACUCAUGGAGCUGAAGUCAGUCGAAGAUACCAGCUGGCUGCAACUGUUUAUUAAAAACACAGCACUGUGCAAACACGAAAGUGGACGUAUACGGUGUGACGCCUGCCCGGUGCCGGAAGGUUAAUUGAUGGGGUCAGCGCAAGCGAAGCUCCUGAUCGAAGCCCCGGUAAACGGCGGCCGUAACUAUAACGGUCCUAAGGUAGCGAAAUUCCUUGUCGGGUAAGUUCCGACCUGCACGAAUGGCGUAAUGAUGGCCAGGCUGUCUCCACCCGAGACUCAGUGAAAUUGAACUCGCUGUGAAGAUGCAGUGUACCCGCGGCAAGACGGAAAGACCCCGUGAACCUUUACUAUAGCUUGACACUGAACAUUGAGCCUUGAUGUGUAGGAUAGGUGGGAGGCUUUGAAGUGUGGACGCCAGUCUGCAUGGAGCCGACCUUGAAAUACCACCCUUUAAUGUUUGAUGUUCUAACGUGGACCCGUGAUCCGGGUUGCGGACAGUGUCUGGUGGGUAGUUUGACUGGGGCGGUCUCCUCCUAAAGAGUAACGGAGGAGCACGAAGGUUGGCUAAUCCUGGUCGGACAUCAGGAGGUUAGUGCAAUGGCAUAAGCCAGCUUGACUGCGAGCGUGACGGCGCGAGCAGGUGCGAAAGCAGGUCAUAGUGAUCCGGUGGUUCUGAAUGGAAGGGCCAUCGCUCAACGGAUAAAAGGUACUCCGGGGAUAACAGGCUGAUACCGCCCAAGAGUUCAUAUCGACGGCGGUGUUUGGCACCUCGAUGUCGGCUCAUCACAUCCUGGGGCUGAAGUAGGUCCCAAGGGUAUGGCUGUUCGCCAUUUAAAGUGGUACGCGAGCUGGGUUUAGAACGUCGUGAGACAGUUCGGUCCCUAUCUGCCGUGGGCGCUGGAGAACUGAGGGGGGCUGCUCCUAGUACGAGAGGACCGGAGUGGACGCAUCACUGGUGUUCGGGUUGUCAUGCCAAUGGCACUGCCCGGUAGCUAAAUGCGGAAGAGAUAAGUGCUGAAAGCAUCUAAGCACGAAACUUGCCCCGAGAUGAGUUCUCCCUGAGACUUAGAGUCUCCUGAAGGAACGUUGAAGACGACGACGUUGAUAGGCCGGGUGUGUAAGCGCAGCGAUGCGUUGAGCUAACCGGUACUAAUGAACCGUGAGGCUUAACCUUACAACGCCGAAG